AUGGACGCCAAGCCCGGCGCGCCCGUCCACGAGCCGCUGCUCGCGGCGGCGCGGCCCGGCAAGGACGCGGCGGACGACGAUGGGGCGCGCCAGGGCCUCGCCGCGGCGGAGGUGAAGCGGCUGGUGCGGCUCGGCGGGCCCAUCAUCGCCAGCUGCAUCCUCCAGAACGUCGUCAACAUGGUGUCCGUCAUGGUCGUCGGCCACCUCGGCGAGCUGCCCCUCGCCGGCGCCUCCCUCGCCACCUCCCUCGCCAACGUCACCGGCUACAGCCUCCUCACCGGCAUGGCGACGGCGAUGGACACGCUCUGCGGCCAGGCCUACGGGGCGCGGCUGUACCACCGGCUCGGCGUCUACAAGCAGCGCGCGAUGGUGGUGCUCUCGCUCGCCUGCGUCCCCAUCGUCCUCAUCUGGGCCAACACCACCAGGAUCCUCGUCUCCCUCGGCCAGGACCCGGCCAUAUCGGCCGUGGCCGGCGAGUAUGCGCGGUGGAUGAUCCCGUCGCUCGUCGUGUACGUGCCGCUGCAGUGCCACAUACGGUUCCUGCAGUCGCAGAGCAUCGUGCUGCCCGUGACGGCCAGCUCCGGCACCACGGCGCUCUGCCACCCGCUCGUCUGCUGGCUGCUGGUGUACAAGGCCGGCCUGGGGAGCAAGGGCGCCGCGCUCAGCAACGCCGUCUCCUACGGCAUCAAUCUGGUCAUACUGGCUCUGUACGUCAGGCUGUCGAGCACCUGCAAGAACACAUGGAGCGGCUUCUCCAGAGAGGCGUUCAGGGAGCUGCGCCAGUUCACCGCGCUCGCCAUGCCGUCCGCCAUGAUGAUCUGCUUGGAGUGGUGGUCAUUUGAGAUCCUUGUGCUUCUCUCUGGGCUUCUGCCGAAUCCACAGCUUGAGACAUCAGUGCUGUCAAUAUGCCUUAACACAGGUGCUCUGUUGUACAUGGUGCCGCUUGGCCUUUCUUCUUCUAUCAGCACGCGCGUCUCAAACGAACUUGGCGCUGGCCACCCAGAAGCAGCAAAGCUAGCGACGCGAGUGGUCAUGUACAUGGCCUUAUCUGUAGGAUUGGUGUUAGCCCUGACCAUGGUCUUGCUGCGGAAUGUUUGGGGGUAUCUGUACAGCAAUGAGCAGGAAAUCGUCACAUACAUUUCAAGGAUGCUGCCCAUUCUCGGAAUAUCUUACUUGAUAGAUGGACUCCACAGUUCUCUUUCAGGCGUGCUUACCGGCAGUGGCAAGCAGAACAUCGGCGCAGCCGUGAAUCUCGGUGCAUUCUACCUGCUAGGGUCUCUGGCUUGGCAUCGUUUCGGGCAGCUUCACCAAACUGGUGCUGCUCACAUUUAUCGCGUGGUGCAUAGAUUGGGAAAAGGAGGCACUAAAGGCACAGGACAGGGUCUUGGGCUCAGCUCACCUACUUCCAGUAGCGUAGCAACGUGA
rnacentral:rRNA from 1 species